rnacentral:misc_RNA from 1 species
AAGUCGUAACAAGGUUUCCGUAGGUGAACCUGCGGAAGGAUCAUUAACAAAAUAUCUUGGCCAGCGGCUCGCCGCCACGCCAAUUCACCUUGGUUGGGAUUGCGCACAUAACCGCAGUGCAAACUGUGGGCGCCAGCAGUUUUUCGGAACUGCCUUGCGGCCCUCGCGGCCAGCAGGUCCCUGAAGGGAUAGUGUUCUGCAAUGCUCGUCAUUCGGAACGCUCGUGUUCUAGCAAUAGACACACCAAACAUAUAUUAAAGUCUAAUAACAUGUCGAAAGACAACCAUUACAACUUUUAACAAUGGAUCUCUAGGCUCUU